GACGAACGCUGGCGGCGGGCUUAACACAUGCAAGUCGAACGGGGAACCUCUUCGUAGGGGAUCAGUGGCGAACGGGUGGGGAACACGUGGGCAACCUGCCCCCGGCUCUGGGGUAACUCCAAGAAAUUGGGGCUAAUACCGGAUGUUCACCGCUUCCCGCAUGGGUGGUGGUGAAAAGGGUUUCCGGCUGGGGAUGGGCCCGCGGCGUAUCAGCGAGUGGGUGGGGUAGCGGCCUACCAAGGCGACGACGGGUAGCCGGCCUGAGAGGGUGAUCGGCCACGCUUGCACUGAGACACGGCCCGGACGCCUGCGGGAGGCAGGGGUGGGGGAUCUUACACAAUGGGGGCAACCCUGAUCGAGCCAGGCCGGGUGAGUGAGUAAGGCCUUAGGGUUGUAAAGCACUGUCAGCCGGCAAGAUAAUGACGGUACCAACAGAAGAAGCCCCGGCUAACUCCGUG
rnacentral:rRNA from 1 species